GCGGACGAAGCGGCAAACGCCCGCUGCGACCCUUCCAAGGUUGAGGUGCGGGUUCGAUUCCCGCCGCCCGCUCCA
rnacentral:tRNA from 1 species